UACGGAGGGUGCAAGCAUUAAUCGGAUUUAUUGGGCGUAAAGGGCGCGUAGGCGGACUUGCAAGUCAGAUGUGAAAUCCCGGGGCUCAACCCCGGAACAGCAUUUGAAACUACAGGUCUUGAGGGUAGGCGGAGAAAACGGAAUUCCACAAGUAGCGGUGAAAUGCGUAGAUAUGUGGAAGAACAUCGGUGGCGAAGGCGGUUUUCUAGCUUACUUCCUGACGCUGAGGCGCGAAAGCAAGGGGAUCAAACAGG
rnacentral:rRNA from 1 species